GGACUACCCGGGUUUCUAAUCCUGUUUGAUCCCCACGCUUUCGUGCCUCAGUGUCAAUAUUCGUGUAGUAAGCUGCCUACGCUAUCGGUGUUCUAUGUCAUAUCUAAGCAUUUCACCGCUACAUGACAUAUUCCGCUUACCUCCACGACAUUCAAGACAAAUAGUAUCAAUGGCAGUUUCCGGGUUAAGCCCGGAGAUUUCACCACUGACUUACUUGCCCACCUACGCACCCUUUAAACCCAGUGAAUCCGGAUAACGCUUGCACCCUCCGUAUUACCGCGGCUGCUGGCAC
rnacentral:rRNA from 1 species